UGGGCCUCGUAAUAGGUCAAAUACUGGGCUGAGCCUCGGCCUCGUUAAGACACUGAUCACGAGCAGUGACCGUCUCCGGGGAGCUAGGGUUCGCCAUGGUGGAACCUUCCAAUAACUCAGACCUUGAACCUGACAAUCCCAACAGCACUGCUCCGAAUUCCGACGGCCCAACGAAGAUCUCAUCAUCCGUCGCCAUGGAUUCUUCUCCUGUCACCCCAAGCCGACUUGUCUACGUACGUCGACGGCUCGAGAAUAAUCCCAAUUCAUCGACCGAUUCCCAAUCCAAGCAACCAACCGUCUCCGGUGUUCCUCCACCUAAGACUGAGCUAUCACCCCCGCCGGGAUCUCUCUCCGGUGGGUUAGACUGGGAAGACCGAUACCAUCAGCUUCAAAUUCUUCUGAACAAACUCGAUGAAUCUGAUCCCAAGGAUUAUGUUCAGAUGCUUCGAUCUCUUCCCUCUCUCGACCUCAGCAGACAUGCCGUUCAGUUGGAGAAGAGAUCUAUUCAACUCUCUCUCGAGGAAGCGAAAGAGAUGCAGCGUGUGGCAGCGUUAAAUGUUCUUGGAAGGUCAUUGAACAAUGAUCAAAAUUCUCCACCAAAUUCCAAAGGCUAGAUCCAUACAUCCAUCCGUCUUAAGAUUCAACACAAAGCAGAGGCCUGCCCGAGAGGUUCCCAUUUGGUGAAAGAUGGAAUGCAAAAGGGGACGGGGAAAAGAAAAAGAAGAAGAAAAUGGUUUCGUGAGCUGCUGUCCUGUGAUCACUCUGCAGUCAUAUCCCCCCAUCAUCCGAAUGUGUGUUUUGAGUUGGAUAUUCUCCCACGAGUUUGGAACUUGCAAUGCUGUAAUAGAUUCUCCCAACUCCUGUGAUUAGCUGUCGCAUCUUAUCUGGAAUCUAUCACGUCUCUACGUAUUAAGGAAGGAAACACCCACCGAAUGUGCAUAUAGAUUCAAUCAGAAGCGCAUGUAUACAAAAAAAAAACUUGAUUUAAUUCCAAAUCACUUGUUUGUAAUAAACACUUGAAUUGUGUAAUAGCUCGGGGGGAAGAAUAUUGAUUGGUAACAUGAAAUAUAAUACAAUAUC